AUCAGCGAAGGCCUAGUGGGGAACCAGAACUCCCACCUCCACCCUAAUAAUGAGAAAUCCCUGCCCCACUCAGGUGUCAACAGAGGCUAAGCGGGGGCUUGGAUUUCUACUCCCCCCUGGCAGGAGCAGGGCAGUGCCUCCCUCUUCCUGUAACAGAGAAGAGUCCAAACAUGUCAGUACAACAGAAGAUGUGAAUAGGAUCCAGAGUAUCACAACAUUAUAGCAAAAAUGUCCAGUUUCAAAAGACUGUAACUCUUCAUCUGAAGAACCAAGAAAAUUUCACCUUGAAUGUACAAUCAAGAAAGGCCAGCACCAAAAUGAUAGAGACAUUAGAAUUAGCUGACAAGGAUCUUCAAGCAGCUAUCUUACACACAAUUCAACAUAAAACUGUGGACAUGCCUGAAAUAAGUGGGAAAAAAAUGAAGUUUCAUCAAAGAAUUAGAAAGUUUCAGCAAAUAAAUAGAAGAUAUUAAAAAAAAACAAAUGGAAUUUCAGAACUGAAAAAUAUAGUAACUGAAGUUAAAAACUCAGUGGAUAAGCUCAACAGUGGAAUGGAGGGAACAAAGAAAAGAGCUCGUAAACUUGAAGAUAGAAUGAUAGAAAUAACCCAGCAUGAAAAACAGAAAGAAAUAGAUGAGAAAGAAAAUAAGUAGAGCCACAGGGACCUGUGGAACAAAAAUCUAACAUUCCUGUCAGAGUCCCAGAAGCAGAGGAGAAAAGGGCAGGAUUGGAAAAGCAUUCAAAGAGAGAAUUGCUGAAAAUCUCCCAAAUUUGCAAACGACAUAAACCUCAGAUUCAAGAAGCUGAGUAGCAAGCCCCAACCAGAAUAAACCCCCAAAAUGACAUUCCAGGCAUAUCCUAGUUCAACUUCUGAAAACUAAAGGCAAAUUUAAAAAUAUUUAAAGCAGCCAAACAGAAACAACACGCUGCCAAUAAACGGAAAAACAAUUUAUAUCACAGUGGAUUUCUCAUCAGAAACUGUAGACACCAGAAGGGAGGGGCACCAUAUUAUUCAAGUGUGGAAAGGAAAGAUCUGUCUGGUCAGAAUCCAGCAGAAAUAUCCUUCAGGACUGAAUGAGAAAUCAAGACAUUCUCAGAUGAAGGACAUUGAGAGAAUCUGUCACUGGCAGACCUAUCCAAAACUGAUGGCUGAAAGAAGUUCUCUAAACAGAAAGAAAAUGACAGAAGAAGGAAUCCUGAGACAUUAGGAAGGAAGGAAGAACACAGGGAGAGCAAAAUUGGGGGCUAAAUGCGACAGUCCUUCUGCCCUUCCGUUUUUUAAAAUUAUGUUGCCUGGUGGAAGCAAAAAUCAUAACAGUAUCUGAUGUGGUCCUAAAUGUAUCUGGAGGAAAUAUACAAGGCAAUUUUAUUAUAAGUAGGGGUGGACCUACAGGGAGAUAAGUCGCUGUGCUUCAUUUGAACUGAUGAAUGUCAAUACCAGUAGACUGUGAUGUUAUGUACAUAUAAUAUAAUAUCUAGAGCAGCCACUAAAUAAGCUAUCAAAGAGACAUAGUCGAAAACAUGACAGGCAAGUCAAAAGGCAAUUCUAAAAAACAAAUAUUCAGAUAACCCCCAGGAAGGCAAAUAAAACAGAGAAAUAAAUAAAAAGAGAGAACAGAAAAGAAGAAACAAUUUGGUAUAAAGAUUAUGAUACCCAAAACUACACUAAAAGAUCUAAAUAUAGAGGUUAAGCAAGAAAAAUCAUCAGAGUGGAUUUUAAAACAUGCCUCAACUAUAUGCUGUUACUUCAAAUACAAUCAUAUAGGUAGGUUGCAAGUCAAAAAAGAUGGGAGAGGAUAUGUCAGGCAAACUUCAAUCAAAAGAAAGCAGGCGGCUAUAUUAAAAUCUGAUAAAGUAAACUUGAGCAAAGAAAAUUACCAGAGGCAGUGAAGAACAUUACACAAUGAUUUUAAAAGUGUCAAUUCACAAGAAAGGGUAUAUGUGAAGCAAAUUACCGAUAAAACUUGAAAAGAGAGCUAGACAAAUCCGACAGUUAUAGUUGGAGACAUCAGCACCACCCCCUCAACAAUUAAUAGAACAAGCGGACAGAAUAUCAAAAAUAUAGACAAACCCAACAACACUAUUAACCAAGGGAAUCUAACCAACAUUUAGAGAACACUACACCCAGCAACGGCAGAAUGCAUAUUCAAGCACUCACAGAACAAAUACUAAGAGAGACCAAGUCCUGGGUCAUUAGCAAAUGUAAAGGACAUUGAGGAGCUCACAGAUCUCCUGGAGGGAGGCUCAGAGAAUCAGACAUGGAAGCUCUGCCACCAAGAACAACAAGAACAUCACUCCAGGCCCUCCGUAGCCUGCCUCUACAGAGAUACCUCCACCGCCACCACUUGACUGGGCCACACACCAGGCCACAGGUGACUCUGCCAGGACCCCAACCACUGCUGCCCCUGAAAAUAGAUCCCUGGCACUGCCAUCUUCCUCAUAUGAUCCGCUUCAAGAUCAACGUCUACUGUGGGGUUGUCUUACAGAAGGUACCUAAGUCAUGACAACCCACCCAGUUGCAAAGGGGGAGCAGGGGCAGAUUAAGAAAGCAGGCAUCUAGCCCUGCAUUGGGGAAUUGAGACUCAGAACGAUGAGCCAGGCUAACAAAGGAAGCCAAAAAAGCUUGAUGCCAAACAAGGGAUAUGUCCCCCACAGAAUGGAUGGCACUCAGAGGCCUCUCCUAGCAGCUGCACCCCACCCUCUGCUUCUGGCCCAGAGUCUGGGCUCCUAGUGAUGGGAAGGCCUGGGCUCUCCUGGAGAACUUAGCUGCUUUUCCAGCCUCCCUCAUACACACCCCUAGAUCUGGACUUCAUUUCUCAUACAUGAGAACUCUUGGGUGGAAUAAGUCACCAGUUAAAAUGAACUCAUUGCAAGCUUCACAUUAUCUCACUCUCCAAUCUUGCUUGAGUGAAUUCUUAUCUUCAGAUCGAGGUUGUUUUUCACUAGAAAUGAAUCAAAUUCAGGCACAGGACCAGCUAUCUGUCAGGAGGAGCAGGACCUAGGAAAUAAGGACGAAAUCCACAAGGAAGUGAAAGAAUGAACUGAAAACACACGGAUGACCUCAUUUCUCAGAGUCACCAGGACACAUUCGGGAAGGUUCAAGCAAAAGCAAAACAGUAGUUGCCUCUGAAGCUGGGCUUCCCCAGUGGCUCAGCUGGUAAAGAAUCUGCCUGAAACACAAGAGACACAGGUUCGAUCCCUGAGUUGGGAAGAUCCCCUGGAGAAGGAAAUGGCGACCCACUCCAGUAUUAGUGCCUGGAGAAUUCCAUAGACAGAAGAGCCUGGCGGUCUACAGUCUAUGGGGUCACAAAGAGUUGGACAUGACUGAG
ensembl:lncRNA